GUACGUUUCCCAGUAGUACUAGAUCGGGAGUCUCGGCAGGUUGCCUCGAGUCGCUCAUGUCCAUGGGCGACUCGGCCACUAUUCGGGCUGUACGUUUUCCACUGGCUGAGUCCCUGGCUGUGCCGAUGGCUGAGCUGCAGUCUCCCUCAUGAGGAAUGGCUUAAUAUGGACAAUACUCGUGCCCUUCAGCACAUGGCCUGUCGACUCGUUGCGGAGCACCACCUUCUGUCCGGACAGUUCAACUAUCACAUAACCAGAGAGCCAGUCUGGAGUCAUGCGAUCCCCUUUUCGACCACCUAGCUUCUUGGGAUUGGCUUUCAUGACUCUCUGUCCAACAUGGAAAGUAUUUCCUCAUGGUAGCACGAGAGUAUAGGCUACUCACCACAGGUUGGGCACUGGCUUCUUUUUGGCCUCCGUGCUUUGACGUGAGUGUAACGUAGAGCAGCAAUGGAUAGGCAGCUAGCUACGUGUCAUGUCUAGACAUGCAGUUACACCAGAGUUUACUUAUUAUAGCUUAGGACGAUUUAAUAUAGCCGAGGAGACGCGCUGAGGUCUAUUAAAUCUCAAUCUGUUUUCAAGGGUGAACGGAGUUCGUAACUGUGAACGAAUAUUGUGAAUCAAAGAGCUGUAACCAAAGAUGAAUAAACGAAAGAAAUAUACCGACA